CAGUAGCCGCGGUAAUACAGAGGAUGCAAGCGUUGUCCGGAAUUAUUGGGCGUAAAGGGCUCGCAGGCGGUUUCUUAAGUCUGAUGUGAAAGCCCCCGGCUCAACCGGGGAGGGUCAUCGGAAACUGGGAAACUUGGGUGCAGAAGAGGAGAGUGGAAUUCCACGUGUAGCGGUGAAAUGCGUAGAGAUGUGGAGGAACACCAGUGGCGAAGGCGACUCUCUGGUCUGUAACUGACGCUGAGGAGCGAAAGCGUGGGGAGCGAACAGAAUUAGAUACCCCCGUAGUCCCUGUCUCUUAUAC
rnacentral:rRNA from 1 species